rnacentral:rRNA from 1 species
AGUGAACGCUGGCGGUAGGCCUAACACAUGCAAGUCGAACGGCAGCACAGUAAGAGCUUGCUCUUACGGGUCGCGAGUGGCGGACGGGUGAGGAAUACAUCGGAAUCUACUUUUUCGUGGGGGAUAACGUAGGGAAACUUACGCUAAUACCGCAUACGACCUACGGGUGAAAGCAGGGGAUCUUCGGACCUUGCGCGAUUGAAUGAGCCGAUGUCGGAUUAGCUAGUUGGCGGGGUAAAGGCCCACCAAGGCGACGAUCCGUAGCUGGUCUGAGAGGAUGAUCAGCCACACUGGAACUGAGACACGGUCCAGACUCCUACGGGAGGCAGCAGUGGGGAAUAUUGGACAAUGGGCGCAAGCCUGAUCCAGCCAUACCGCGUGGGUGAAGAAGGCCUUCGGGUUGUAAAGCCCUUUUGUUGGGAAAGAAAAGCAGCAGGUUAAUACCCCGCUGUUCUGACGGUACCCAAAGAAUAAGCACCGGCUAACUUCGUG